rnacentral:rRNA from 1 species
GAUAACCGUAGUAAUUCUAGAGCUAAUACAUGCAAAAAUUCCCGACUUUUUGGAAGGGAUGUAUUUAUUAGAUAAAAACCAAUGCAGAUAUUUUACGAUAUCUGGAACAUUGUUGAUUCAUAAUAACUUCGCGAAUCGCAUGGUCUUUGCACCGGCGAUGAUUCAUUCAAAUUUCUGCCCUAUCAACUUUGGAUGGUAGCGUAGUGGUCUACCAUGGUGAUUACGGGUGACGGAGAAUUAGGGUUCGAUUCCGGAGAGGGAGCCUGAGAGAUGGCUACCACUUCCAAGGAAGGCAGCAGGCGCGCAAAUUACCCAAUUCCAAUACGGAGAGGUAGUGACAACAAAUAACAAUACUGGAUUCGAUAAGAAUCUAGUAAUUGGAAUGAGUACAAUUUAAAUCCCUUAACAAGGAACAAUUGGAGGGCAAGUCUGGUGCCAGCAGCCGCGGUAAUUCCAGCUCCAAUAGCGUAUAUUAAAUUUGUUGCAGUUAAAAAGCUCGUAGUCUGAUUUCUGAGUUUUAGAAGACUCGGUCCGCCGGGAUGGUGUGUACUGGUUUUCUUACUCAUUUUUUCCGGUUUGCUGCCUUCUGUUCUUAAGUGAAUGGGAGGUUAAAAAUACAAAAAAGCUCCGGAUCAUUUACUUUGAAAAAAUUAGAGUGUUUAAAGCAGGCAAUUUAUUGCGUUGAAUACAUUAGCAUGGGAUAAUAAAAUAGGAAUACUCCUCCUAUUUUGUUGGUUUCUUGGAUGGAGAUUAAUGAUUAAUAGAGAUAGUUGGGGAUAUUCAUAUUUAAUUGUCAGAGGUGAGAUUCUUGGAUUUAUGAAGAUGAACUUCUGCGAAAGCAUUUAUCAAGGAUGUUUUCAUUGAUCAGACGAAGUUNGGGGAUCGANACGAUCAGAUACCGUCGUAGUCUACCAUAAACGAUGC